AGUGUGGGAAAGUGGGAGGAAGGAUAGAAGGACCUGAAGGGGACAGGAGCUCCACAAGACGACCAACAGCACCAACUAACCAGGGCUCAAAGGGGCUUGAAGCUCCUAGACUAGGACUGGGACCUAAGCCCCCUACACAGAUGCAGCAGACGGGCAGCUCAGCAUUCCCUAAUAAGGGUAGCCAGGGCUGUUUCCCACAUUGACUCUUUUGCCUGCUUUUGGUCAUUUCCCCCUGCCCAGACUGCCUAGCCAGACCACAGGGGAAGAGGACCUGCUCAAUCCUAAUGCAACUUGACGAGAUAUGUGGACGUCCUGGGCUCAAAUAAAUAAAUAUUUUUAAAAUAGGAGUCUAGAACCCAUAGGGAAGAGCUUGUAAACUCCCUUGAUACCUCAGUGCAAUCAUAUGCUGACAGCUCAUGGAAACAGCAUCUGUUUUGUCCAGAAGCCACCACCACGCAGCAGGACUGACAGCCUGUUGCAGAUGCUAAAGUGCCAUUGCGCUUAGUGAGGAAAGAAUUCCCCAACAGGAAGGGGGACCAGAAUGACUCUUCACCCACAGACUCCUGCUACAACAAUUUGGUAAAGGCUGAGGGGCUACGGUAUGGAUACAGGUUAGGACGAUGCGCAAAGCAUCAAGAAUGCUGAAAUCCUCUGAACCUUGGGAGGGUUGCAUCAUCACUCACGUUCAGUAGCUUUUAUAUUUCUUAACAAGCCGAGGGGAAGGCACAGAUAUCAGCCUGUCGCAUGUGCAGAGAAACCCAUGGAGAUCGUGCAGACUCUGAUUCAGAAUGUUUCCCAGGGCCCUGAGAUCUGUCCAGUGACCAGUUCUCAGGGAUGCAUUUUACAUCAGAAGCAGAGAGGAUUGUCAUGCCAUGCGUGGUGAACUCUAUUUUCUUAUAGAUCAGUCCUGGAGGAUAAGAGCUUGUCGAUAUAAGCAGGAUUUCUGCUGCAGAAGCCCGCGGAGUGGGGAGUGAGUCUCAAACCCUGGCGCCAAACAGGUGGCGCAGGAGGUGUGCUUCAAAUCCACAAGGGAGAUGAUAUCUGAGAUAAGGAAGGAGAGAGCUAGGCACGAUAACACACACCUUUAGUUCCAGCACUCAGGAGGCAGAGGCAGACAGAUCUGAGUUCAAGGCCAGUUUGAUCUACAGAGAGGGUUCUAUGAUAGGACAGCCAGGUUACACAGAAAAACAAAACAAAUCAAAGCAAACUAAGGAGGGGAAGAAGGAAAGAAAAGGGAAGAAAAAAAAAGGAAUUAGAGAAUGGAUAAGUGGGAAAAAAUAAUGUAAA